ACGGCGAGUGAAGCGGCAAAAGCUCAAAUUUGAAAUCGGCCAUCAGGUCGAGUUGUAAUUUGUAGAUUGUACUUUGAGAGCGGAUUAAAGUCUGUUGGAACACAGCGCCUUAGAGGGUGACAGCCCCGUUAAAAUCUAUUCUCAUUGUAAGGUACUUUCGAAGAGUCGAGUUGUUUGGGAAUGCAGCUCUAAGUGGGAGGUAAAUUCCUUCUAAAGCUAAAUAUUGACGAGAGACCGAUAGCGAACAAGUACUGUGAAGGAAAGAUGAAAAGCACUUUGAAAAGAGAGUGAAAAAGUACGUGAAAUUGUUAAAAGGGAAGGGUAUUGAAUCAGACGUGGUGCUGUUGUUCAACUUUGUUUCGGCAUGGUGUACUCAGCAGUACUAGGCCAAGGUGGGGUGUUUGGGAGUGAAAAAGGAAUAGGAACGUAGCUCUUCGGAGUGUUAUAAUCUAUUUUCAUAGCUCCUCAGGCGCCUCAGGACUGCGCUUCGGCAAGGACUUUGGCAUAAUGAUUCUAUACCGCCCGUCUUG
rnacentral:rRNA from 1 species